GCCAGGCCUGGUGACGCAUACCUGUAAUCCCAGCCACUCUGGAGGCUGAAGCAGGAGGAUCAUGAGUUCAAAGCCAGCCUCAGCAACUUAAGGAGGCCCUAAGCAAUUCAGGGAGAUCCUGUCUCUA
rnacentral:sRNA from 1 species